UUCCAAAGGGAGCUUGCUAAUGGAAUCAGGAAGGGUUGAGGCAUGCAGCUUCAAAGCAAAUGGACAUGAUGUGUUUCUGACCGGAACAGUUGCAGCGGCAAUGAAGAAAAAAGUUCACCAGUAAAGGCUGAAGAUAUUGAAUCCAACUUCGACAUUAACAUGGAUGAUCCAAGACCUGAGAGGUUCAGAGGCAAUAAUGGAUACAACUCAUUUGUAAGGAGCCAAGUGAUCAACUAUUGUGCAGUAUCAUCCAAGGACCUUGCAUUUAGAUAUCUUAUGCCGAAGGCAAAUAUACAAGUGGCAGCAAAAGACCAUGACUACAC